CAGUCGCCGCGGUAAAACGGAGGGUGCAAGCGUUAAUCGGAAUUACUGGGCGUAAAGCGCACGCAGGCGGUCUGUCAAGUCAGAUGUGAAAUCCCCGGGCUCAACCUGGGAACUGCAUUUGUGACUGGCAGGCUAGAGUAUGGCAGAGGGGGGUGGAAUUCCGCGUGUAGCAGUGAAAUGCGUAGAUAUGCGGAGGAACACCGAUGGCGAAGGCAAUCCCCUGGGCCUGCACUGACGCUCAUGCACGAAAGCGUGGGGAGCAAACAGGAUUAGAUACCCCAGUAGUCCCUGUCUCUUAUAC
rnacentral:rRNA from 1 species